CACGUAGGCACCAAGCGUUGUCCGGAUUUAUUGGGCGUAAAGAGCUCGUAGGCGGUUCGGUAAGUCGGGUGUGAAAACUUUGGGCUCAACCCAAAGCCUGCACUCGAUACUGCUGUGACUUGAGUCCGGUAGGGGAGUGGGGAAUUCCCGGUGUAGUGGUGGAAUGCGUAGAUAUCGGGAGGAACACCAGUGGCGAAGGCGACUUCCUGGCCUGUUCUUGACGCUGAGGCGCGAAAGCUAGGGGAGCAAACGGG
rnacentral:rRNA from 1 species